GAUUUUAUAGCUUACAAAAAGCAUUGCUUUGAAGGAGCAAAGACAAUUUCCUUUGAAAUCG
rnacentral:tRNA from 1 species